GAUGAAGAACGUAGCGAAAUGCGAUACGUAGUGUGAAUUGCAGAAUUCAGUGAAUCAUCGAAUCUUUGAACGCACAUUGCACCUCUCGCUAUUCCGGGAGGUAUGCCUGUUCGAGCGUCAUUUGUACCCUCAAGCUCUGCUUGGUGUUGGGUGUUUGUUCCGCCUCUGUGUGUGAACUCGCCUCAAAACAAUUGGCAGCCGGCGUACUUGUUUCGGAGCGCAGCACAUUUUGCGAUCCAGAUCAACGUACAGCGGCAUCCAAGAAGCCUUAUUUAACGCUCUUGACCUCGGAUCAGGUAGGGAUACCCGCUGAACUUAAGCAUAUCAAUAAGCGGAGGA
rnacentral:misc_RNA from 1 species